UACAUGGGGUGCAAACGUUGCUCGGAAUCAUUGGGCGUAAAGCGCGCGUAGGCGGUUACUUAAGUCGGAUGUGAAAGCCCUCGGCUUAACCGAGGAAGUGCAUCCGAAACUGAGUAGCUAGAGUACUAAAGAGGGUCGCGGAAUUCCCGGUGUAGAGGUGAAAUUCGUAGAUAUCGGGAGGAACACCAGUGGCGAAGGCGGCGAUCUGGGUCGAUACUGACGCUGAGGUGCGAAAGCGUGGGGAGCAAACAGG
rnacentral:rRNA from 1 species